CCGGGUGGCUUGGCAGGGGUGUCCUCUGGAGAUCCAGCGGUCGGCGGGGUCGGCUGGGAGAGGCUGCCGCCACCAUCAGGUCACCGAGGUUGCAGUGCAGUAGUGCAAUUACAGCUCACUGUAGUCUCAAUCCCCUGGGCUCAAGUGAUCGUCCCUCCUCAGUCUACCAAGUAGCUGGGACUACAGGCAUGCACCACCACACCCAACUAAUUUUUGGACUUGUUGUAGAGGUCUAUGGUUUCUUAGACACGCGUGGAUUCUCACAGCCACCACCACAGACAGUACAAGCAACAGUUCCAAUACUCCAGAGAACGCCCUCAUCUCUCCUCACCCCUGCCUUCUGGCAAGCAAUGAGCUGUUCUCUGUUCCUGUAUUUUUGCCUUUUCUAGAAUGCCAUAUAAAUGGAAUUAUAUAGAAUGUGCCCUUUUGGUACUGGCCUCUUUUGUUCAAAAGAAUAAUACCUUUGAGAUUCAUCCAUGCUGUUGUUUGAAUCAAGCAUGUUAACUUUUAUUGCUGAGUAGUAGUCCAUUGUGUAGAUAUAUUACAGUUUUUUAAAAAUCUACCCCUGUCGAAGGACAUUUGGGUUGUUUUCAGUUCUUGGUGAGGAUGAACAUUUGUGUGCAGAUUUUGUGUGGACUUAAAAUCUUG
rnacentral:lncRNA from 1 species